UGAACGCUGGCGGCGUGCUUAACACAUGCAAGUCGUACGAGAAAGCUUCAGCUUGCUGAAGCAAGUAAAGUGGCGUACGGGUGAGUAACGCGUGGGUAAUCUACCUCCGAAUCGGGGAUAACUCCACGAAAGCGGGGCUAAUACCGGAUAAUAUUUUUUAAGCUCAGGCUUUGUAAAUCAAAGGUGGUCUCUACAUGUAAGCUACCGUUUGGGGAUGAGCCCGCGUACCAUUAGCUUGUUGGUAGGGUAACAGCCUACCAAGGCUACGAUGGUUAGCUGGUCUGAGAGGAUGAUCAGCCACACUGGAACUGACACACGGUCCAGACUCCUACGGGAGGCAGCAGUGAGGAAUUUUGCGCAAUGGGGGAAACCCUGACGCAGCAACGCCGCGUGAGUGAUGAAGGCCUUCGGGUCGUAAAGCUCUGUCAAGUGGGAAGAAACUGUUCUGUAAUAAUACUGCAGUACACUGACGGUACCAUUGAAGGAAGCACCGGCUAACUCC
rnacentral:rRNA from 1 species